rnacentral:lncRNA from 1 species
GGACGAAAAACCCGAAAGACGGAAUCACGUAACUUAAAGGCUAAGUAGACUUAAGGGCUAAGUUAACUUAACACUUAAGUCAUGAAUAGUAAGGAGGUGUGAAUAGUAUGGAGGUUAGGGGUGAAAUGACUAUUUUGCCCUAGCUUUGGAAAAUCUAUAAAUAGGAAGCUAGAUUUCAUUUAAAUGGGAUUUGGAAAAUCCUACACUAGAGAGAGAGAGAGAGAUAGGAUUCGGAUGGAGAGAGAGAAGGAAGAGCAUGAACAUGAUUGAUCGGAUCAAAAAUGUUUGUGAAAUAGAAAAGCUAGCAAAUCACCGGUUUUGGCUAGCGGAAGAAAAAUAAAGAGGAAAGGUAUUAAAACCUAACUUAUAUGUUAGAUUUUCUUUUAGUUUUAUAUAUUUUAAACAUAACUUAAUGAGAAUAAGAAGUAGAUAAUGUUAGGGAUGAUUUCAUAUGGUUGAAAUCAUCAGAAAUAAGAAAAAUAAGAAUUUGAAGUUUAGUAAAUAAAUUUCUUAAGGAAGUAUAAGAUUCGUAAUGAAUUAGAACGAUUUGAGUUGAUUAUAUCAAUAAGUAGAUGAAAUAAGUAAGGAAUAAUGAUCUAUAACAUCAAAUUCCAAUAAAAAGUGAAAUCGUAAUCCAAAAUAUUGAUUAAAAUGAAGAACGAAUGAAGAACACGAAGAACAUGCGAAGAACACGAAGAACGUUAUUGAUGGAAAAAUUUAAAACCAUCGUAGGAUAUUUGUUGUUGAUGGACAAGUUUAAAACCAUCAUAGGAUAUUUGUUGUUGAUGGACAAGUUUAAAAACAUCGCGUAUAAGUUAGAUGCAUAUUGCUUGGUUAGGAAUGGUAGAAACGUUCAUGAAGAACGGAUUAAAAACUUAGUUAUAACGAAGUUAUGACGAAAAUUUCGUAAAAGACAAACGAGAAUUAGAAAGUUAGUAAAUGAAGCCGAACUUAUAGGGUUUCAUAAGAAUGUAAGAGAACAUAGAAACUGUGAGUCGUCGACUCAAGAACAAACGAAUUCCAAGUUCAGAUGACUGAAUUACGGACGAACAAACAAAGAGCGUUAAAAACGUAAAAUAAACGAAGGGUGAAGAUUAAGCAAAUGGAAUGGCAUGUUAACGGAUUCAGAACGAUGUUCUAUCUGGGGGUAUUGAAGUACGUAAGAUAAAGAAGAGAAUGGCUUUGGAAUAACCUCGUUCUAAGUUAUAACGAAGGAGUUGUGAGAUCGGGAAGUAGCGUCUCAAAAUGAAGUUAACACUUAGAAGAAAUUUUCAAGAAUUAGGGCUUGGCACCGCGGCACCAACCAUGCCUUAUAAGGUGGCAUUGCAGCGCCAGAACAGAGAGCCGGGUACUGCAAACUCGUGCCGCGUCGCGAGAGAUAGAAGGGAUAGUGGCACCGCAGUGCCAGUGUAGGGAAAAAGCCAGAGAAGAGCUUUUAACUGCUCAACUAUUGGGGGAAACGUACGGGAAGAUAAAGAACAUAAUGUUCAACUAAUGUAACACUUACACAAGUAAGUUAAACCUUAAAUGAAGGUUGAACGGAAAGAUUAAAUGAGAGUAAAAGACAAAUAAUGUAGACGCGGGUUACGUAACCGAUGUUCGGGGACCGUAGUCGCAAUGAACGAACGUGAGGGAUUGCUAUGGUUGUGAUUCCUUAGACGUUGCGUGACGAGGGUAAUGAAUAACAUUUUGAUGUUAUGUCAUGAUAGUGAGAGAUAAGUGUAAAGCGUAUAAACGCUGUAAACACAACGCAGUUGCGAUAAACGAUCGGUCGUAGCAUACAAUGAACAAUAUGAUUUCGACAUUAAGAAAGAACAAUGAACAUGGGGUUCAUGGGAUGGAUAACGAUCAAAGGCGAUUAAAACCUUGAGUAAAGGUUGAAUGAGAGAUUAAAAGACGAGCAACGUGAAUGUUGAAUACGUAAACGAUCCUCGUGAGUCGUAUUCGCGUUGGACGAACAUUCUAAGUAUACCCUGGUUGUAUGACCUAGACGUUGACAAAGGUAGUAAGUAACACAUGAAUUAUCGAGAAAGCCGUAAUGAACGAUAAUAAGAGUAAUGAAAGCCGAAGGUGAGUCGUAUAAGAAUGAAUCCUGAGGGGUGGCAUUUAGUUGCCAGGAAGCCAUAAGGAAUGAGAAAUUAACUUAACGAAGAUUAUAGUUUAAAUAGUUUGGAUAAGUUAAGAUAAGUUAAGUUGUAGUACAAUCAUAACCUUUGAUGGUUGACAUAUGGGAGCUGGGCUAAACAAUUCCUUCAGAGAGCGAAGGUAUAUACAAAACUGGCAACCGGUCUAACUCACUGUUAUGGGCAGUGUAGACGAGACGGGAACUUGUUUGUUGGUUGUUUAUUGGAAACCACUCAGAGUACCAUAUGGACUACUAGCAGAGAAACGAUGUGUGCUGAGUCUUAGAGAAGUAAUAAGAAGAAGAUAAGAUGUAAAACAUCAAAGAUGAUGAACAUAAAAGUAAGACAUCUCCGUAUGUCAUGAAACCGUAGAAUGGUAAUGAAAGUGGUCGCGUAAACUUAGGUUACAAGAACGCGAACCCUAAGAAGUAAAGUUAAGCAUACUAAUGCAUAAGUCAAAGAUGUAUGACUAAUUGGUGUAUGUGGUGUUUUCUUAUGUGUUAUAUAGGAAUUAAAAUGAGCAGUUCGGCGUAAGCUGUAGCUGGGCGUAAGGCAAGUUUCCUAACUUCAUUCAUAUUUCAAAUGAAUGCUAGUUUCUUAAACUUCUCAGAUGUUGAACUUGAGAAGUUCCGUCUAUGUGCUAAUGUGCGAUAAUUAUAUAAGGUGGUAGAACGUAUGAGGCCUUGAGCCACAAUGUGAACACUUCGGUGUUCCUAUGAAAUGAGCUGUUCUGUAAUUUAACUGUUCAAUAAGAGAAUGCUCUGUUUAUACAUGAUCCGUUAUUGUUAAGUCUGUGCUAAUGAUUCUAGCCAGACAGAAUUUGUAUGAAAAAGGUAGAAGAAUGAAAGUACUUUAAAAUGAAAGUGAAUAUUGUUUUAAAAUGAUAGGAAUCGAGAUUAUUCCUAUUAUUCAAGCUGCUUCAUAACCUUUGUUCGGUUAUUGAAGUCUUAAAAGAAUGUUUAAAUUCUUGAAGAUGUUUGUUCAACUGUGAUGACUUGCUGGGCAAUUGAAUGCUCACACUUGCUUUAAAUGAAAAAUAUUUUCAGCGAACGAUGUUAGAAAAACUUAAGGAUCCCGUAAAGAUCAAGCUGAC